rnacentral:rRNA from 1 species
ACGGGUGAGUAAUGUCUGGGAAACUGCCUGAUGGAGGGGGAUAACUACUGGAAACGGUAGCUAAUACCGCAUAACGUCGCAAGACCAAAGAGGGGGACCUUCGGGCCUCUUGCCAUCAGAUGUGCCCAGAUGGGAUUAGCUAGUAGGUGGGGUAACGGCUCACCUAGGCGACGAUCCCUAGCUGGUCUGAGAGGGUGAUCGGCCACAUUGGGACUGAGACACGGCCCAGACUCCUACGGGAGGCAGCAUG